UGCUCCCUUUCCCCAUCGUCUCGCCUCCCCGUCCAGACCUCUCACCCCAGCGAGAGGAGAGAGAGAGAGAGAGAGGGCUAGGGUUUCGUGCUCCCCCACGCCUCACGCAUCGAAUCCCAGCCGGAUCGGGGGGCGCGGAGUCUCCGGCGUCCCGGCGGUGCCUGGACUGUUUGGAAUGGCAUCUGGAACGGAUGACAAAGCUAAGAUGGAGAGUUUGACAUCAGCUGCAGCCUUUGUAGAGGGUGGCAUUCAGGAUGCUUGCGAUGAUGCAUGUAGCAUUUGCCUUGAGGCUUUCUGUGAGAGUGACCCUUCUGCAUUGACCAGCUGCAAACAUGAGUUCCAUCUCCAAUGCAUUCUGGAAUGGUGUCAGAGAAGUUCACAGUGCCCAAUGUGCUGGCAGGCUAUUAGUAUGAAGGAUCCUACCAGCCAGGAGCUGCUUGAGGCAGUAGAGCGGGAGAGGAACAUCAGAACCAAUCAAACUCGAAACACAACUAUAUUCCAUCAUCCUGCUCUUGGGGAUUUCGAGCUGCAGCAUUUACCUGUUGUUGGUAAUGAUGCUGAGCUUGAAGAGCGUAUACUACAGCAUCUAGCUGCUGCCGCUGCAAUGGGAAGGGCACACCAUCUUGGAAGAAGGGAAGGGCACCGGGGCCGGUCUGGCUCUCAUGGUCGCCCACAGUUCCUAGUUUUCUCCGCGCAUCCAAAUUCACCUUCUGCUGGCGCAAUUUCUUCCUCGUCUGCUCAAGUGGAGGGGGACAAUGAUUCAAAUCCUGUUACCCCUAGAGCUAGUGAGUCAUCUCCACGAGCUAUCCGCAUUGGAGACACGGGUAACCAAAGCCCUGGGAUGCUUACCUAUGAUGCUGAACAGGAUGCUGUCGUUUCUUCUGGAAAUAGCACUCCUGUAUCGAGUCCUAGGUUUUUUAACAGCAGGAGACACUCCACUGGGCAGUCAACUCCAGACAGGGCUGGCCCGUCGGAUGUUCAGUCUUUCUCAGACUCCCUGAAGUCUCGCUUGAAUGCUGUCUCGAUGAAGUACAAAGAAUCUAUUACGAAGAGUACUCGAGGGUGGAAGGAGAGACUCUUUUCGCGCAACUCAUCCGUGGCAGAUCUUGGUUCUGAAGUGAGAAGAGAAGUUAAUGCUGGAAUUGCCUCUGUGUCAAGGAUGAUGGAGCGUCUGGAAACUAGAGGAAGUAGCAGAACAGGCGAUAGCCCAACAGCAUCCACAUCUGAAGUUCCUCUUCCUACAGAGUCGAGUAAUGAAAGGGCUGCAGAGAGCAACUCUGCUACGAGUACUACUACUUCGACAAGUGCAAGCAACACUACCGCCCCCUGUGUUACGACGUCUGGUUCAAAUUAGGACAUGUAAGAGUUUCAGAAAGAGCCUGCACAUGCCCAUUCUUCAUCUUGAAAGUCACGUGGCAGAGCUACAAGGUGCGGUAUCACGAAGCUGUCAUCUUCUCAACCAUUGCAUAAACGACUGCUGGGAAAUCGGAAUGUUGAUUUGUUGUGUUGGGUGGCUCGAUAAAAGGGUGGUGCGGGGCCUAGGAACGUCGAUUUGAUCUUCUGUUUCAUCUUUGUAAAAAUUUCUUCUUGAGGGCAGAUGUUUACCGGUAUAAAUAACGGAUAUGUCAUCUUCAUAGUAUUUGGGUCGCUAUAAAUAUGAUUGGAACAGCAAAGUUUGAUGCUGUUACACAGUUACUGUAGUACGGUUUCCUGUUUGUUUUUUCUGUUUGUGCUGCCUGCGCGGCUAAACGGAUGCUUUUGGUGUACAAAGAUCAUGCAUGUUUUGACUUUACUGUGCGUAUAUAUACAUGAACA